GAAAAGCACUUCUAGAUUGCUCUACCAAAAUAAUAAGGAAAGGAAGAUUUCUUUGGCUACACUCUUUAGAUAACAUUUCAUCUUAUUAAGACAAAGUAGCAGAAUGGAGAAGGUGCAAGGUUCUGUGCUGGUUAUAUUUUGGCUGCAUCUUGGCUGUCUGAAAGGAGAAACCCAGGUGGAGCAGCGUCCCCGUACCCUGGUACCCCAAGAGGGAGACAUUAUCUCCAUGAGUUGCACCUACCCAGUUAGCAUUUUUAAGGGCCUGCUGUGGUACAGACAGGAUGAGGGGCUAGGACUCCAACACCUGUUUUCCAUGUAUUCAGCUGGAGACGUGAAACAAAAGGGAAGACUGAGAGCCACGUUACUGAAGAAUGGAAGCAGCUUGUCCAUCACAGCCUCAGAGCCUGAAGACUCAGCCACCUACUUCUGUGCUGUAGCCACACAGCGGUGGCUAGGCACCUGUGAUCUGAACCCAAACCUGCAGCUUGGCACCGGGAGCAUGAGAGAAGCAUCAGAAGUGGGCUCUGAGCUGGGGCCCCUUGCAGAGUAGAGUGUUGGGCUGUCUAUAGAGUGAAUGGCAAAUGCUUCUGUCAUUUGGUCCACCAAUUUUAUCAGGUCACCCUCCACAUCCUCUUACAGCCUCAUCUGAAUAUGCCAGUCCUGACCCCUGCUGUCUUCUACAAGAUCCA